CAAGUUAUUAAACUUAAGGACUUAUUUGUACAUAUUUUCUUAUUUUCUUCCCCAUUACUUUGACCUCUAUUGUAAAGUAACGGCACGCGACAGAUUUUGUGCGUCCUUUUUGCACACAUGCAUAUGUAUGUAUGUAUAUACGAAAUAGUUUGACACUCCGCUUUGUAGCGAAUCCCGCGAUCACUUCGAAGCAAGCGGUUCUCCUGAUCGGAUGUAAAAGCGAUUAAUAGAGCUCGAUAUACAAGUGUUCAUUUAAGUGUAAUAAAAAAGUGAAAAGUACUGAAAAAAGCAACUAUAGCAAUUUUAUAUAUGGGACCCAUUUAAGGAAAAGGUUUUUUGCUUUUACGAAGAGCAAAUGCAAAACAAAGAGCGACUUAAACUAUUAAAGACAGUUCAGAAAACAGUAUCACUUGAUUACAAGGACUACAUUAACACCGUAUUGCUCACAUCUGUCAUCUUAAAUAAUUCGUGGACCGUCAUUAAAGGAACCAAUAAGCGAAAGAAAUUAUCACUACUAUGACUCGCAGGAAAGUUUUGUACGCACAUGCAGACGUACGAAUGUGGGAAAACAAAAAAAAUGUGUGAUUAUAAAAAAUAUGUAUAAUAAUGUAUAAUAUGUAUACGUAUAUAUGUAUCAUAUAAAUUCUAAGAGUUACGUUAAGUACAAAUGUAUUUAAAACAAAAGUAAUGAUGACGUGUUAGCAUGGUAAAAAUAGAGUUUAAGCAGAACAAUUGUUUGGAUUAUAAGUUUACGUUUAUUUUCAAUAAAACCACAUACUU